rnacentral:piRNA from 1 species
AAAAAAGUGAGCUUUGAAUUGUAGAUAA